AGAGUUUGAUCAUGGCUCAGAGCGAACGCUGGCGGCGUGCUUAACACAUGCAAGUCGAGCGCCGUAGCAAUACGGAGCGGCAGACGGGAGAGUAACACGUGGGAACGUGCCCUUCAGUUCGGAACAACCCAGGGAAACUUGGGCUAAUACCGGAUACGUCCGUAAGGAGAAAGAUUUAUCGCUGAAGGAUCGGCCCGCGUCUGAUUAGCUAGUUGGUGGGGUAACGGCCCACCAAGGCGACGAUCAGUAGCUGGUCUGAGAGGAUGAUCAGCCUCACUGGGACUGAGACACGGCCCAGACUCCUACGGGAGGCAGCAGUGGGGAAUAUUGGACAAUGGGCGCAAGCCUGAUCCAGCCAUGCCGCGUGGGUGAUGAAGGCCCUAGGGUUGUAAAGCCCUUUCGGCGGGGAAGAUAAUGACGGUACCCGCAGAAGAAGCCCCGGCUAACUUCGUGCCAGCAGCCGCGGUAAUACGAAGGGGGCUAGCGUUGCUCGGAAUCACUGGGCGUAAAGCGCACGUAGGCGGCUUUUUAAGUCAGGGGUGAAAUCCUGGAGCUCAACUCCAGAACUGCCCUUGAUACUGAGAAGCUUGAGUCCGGGAGAGGUGAGUGGAACUGCGAGUGUAGAGGUGAAAUUCGUAGAUAUUCGCAAGAACACCAGUGGC
rnacentral:rRNA from 1 species